rnacentral:misc_RNA from 1 species
GAUGAAGAACGCAGCGAAAUGCGAUAAGUAAUGUGAAUUGCAGAAUUCGGUGAAUCAUCGAAUCUUUGAACGCACAUUGCGCCCCCUGGUAUUCCGGGGGGCAUGCCUGUCCGAGCGUCAUUACAACCCUCAAGCUCUGCUUGGUGUUGGGCCCCGCCGCCCCGGCGGGCCCUAAAGUCAGUGGCGGUGCCAUCCGGCUCCGAGCGUAGUAAUUCUUCUCGCUCUGGAGGUCCGGUUGUGUGCUUGCCAUCAACCCCCAAUUUUUUUCAGGUUGACCUCGGAUCAGGUAGGGAUACCCGCUGAACUUAAGCAUAUCAAUAAGCGGAGGA